rnacentral:rRNA from 1 species
CUGCGAAUGGCUCUUUAUAUCAGUUAUAGUUUAUUUGAUGAAGAAGACUAAUUGGAUAACCGUAGUAAUUCUAGAGCUAAUACAUGUAUAAAGUCUUGUAGACUGCAUUUAUUAGAAUGAAAACCAUAGGUUUCGGCCUAUUCGUGAGUAAUAAUAACUAAAUCUAUCGUAUGCUUAUGUAACGAUGUGUCUUUCAAGUUUCUGCCCUAUCAGCUUUCGAUGGUAGUGUAUUGGACUACCAUG